rnacentral:lncRNA from 1 species
CAUUCGUUGGCUUGGUCUUCAAAUCUUCCUUGUGCUCUUCAGUAGUGCCGUUGGGACGAGUAAGCUUAAGGGUCACUGGACCAUUCAUGCAAAGAUUGUCGCUAAGCUCCACAGCAAGAUACACUGCGUAUUUCACUCCCUUGGUGAGGUUGUUGGCAUUGUACUUUCCGUCAAUUUGUAGCCAGCAUACUGUGAUCAGUUCAGCAACCUCCAUAGGCUGGCAGCUGUGUGUACAAAAGUCCGAAAAACCAAAUAUUAUGUAAAAAUUAUCUCAAAUCUUUGGUCUCGAAAAAUGGAAGUCAAUGGGAUGUUUGGGUUAGCUGAAAAGAAGUGACUUUUUACUUAAAUUAAAGAAGUGGAGUAGAAGUGAGAAGUAAAUAAGUUAAUAAAGAGUUUGGAAAAGAGGUAGAAGCUGUGAGAGAAAAUCUAGUAUCCUCAGCUUCUUAAAAGUGCUUCUACUUAUUUACACAAACAGCUCAAGAAAAGCAUAAGCCAACACCAACUUCUGUCCGGUCAUUAAAUUUGUAGUACAAAAACACCAAAAGCUUUCCAACAUGUGCUAUACAUACCUGAUUGGGUAUGUCUUAGAAACCCAUUUCCAGUAGCGGCUGUCUGAACCCCAAACUAUUGAGAGUUCCUUUGCACUGAUCACCGCAGCGAAGGACUGGACCAAUUAAUCAACAUUAACGGAGAUAUAUAUAUCGUACAAAAUUAUAUGACUAAUUAGACUAUAAUUAAGAACAAGUCACACGCAGGCAGGUGUGUGCAUGGUGCAUAACAAUAAUACUAUUGCAGAAUUAUAAUUUCAUUAAUUACCUAAAUAAAAAAAGAAGUGAAAAUUAAAAACCAAAAUAACUUACACUCUUGUCUUUCGCAGCCUGGACACCUUGAGUCCACAAUGACACGAUGUCAUCACGCACACGCUGCACUUGAGCCAUCCUCCUUGCUAGUUGAGAAUAAGAAGUUCUUAUGUAAUUCUUGUGCUGUCGAUGCCAAUCCUCACUUCCUUGAGCUCUAUUUAUAGCAUUUCCGACGGUCCUAUUUGUCCACUGAUUGAUAGUUACACUUAACCUUAUCUACGGUAGUAGGAUGCUCUGUCCCGUUAUUCUUUCUUUUUAUAAAAUAAGUGGAGCUUGGAUAAGAGAUUCAUCAAUUAUUUAUGCCAAUUGUGCGGUACAAGCCUCACUGGAAUCUGGUGAAUUUCGGUUUUGAUUGAAAUACUCAUAUAACGACGAAAGCGUGGAAGCAUCCGACUACGAGAAAAGAAUUACAGUGACAGGACUACUUCUGUCAGAGCAGGACAUUACUCAACUCGAUUAACUCUGAAAUUUAAUAUUGGCACACAUGAACCAAACCACAAAAAACUGAGCUUCUCAUGAAUCAUUAAACCAGAAUAUUUAGGAAACUGAACUAGAAAAUUCGUCACAAGAUCUGCCUGUAUAAAUAAACUUAUAAUUACUUUUAAGGCUGUUAAAUUUCAUAAUAUAUGUUUGUGAAAAAAUAUUUGAAAUCCAGACAACCGACUACCAUAGGCUGUUUCUAACCUGGUAACCUUUUUGCCCAGAUACCGACCAAAUUAAGUUAUUUCUAAGUAAACACAUAAUUUAAGAAAUGAACCUCACAUUUCCGACCGCUAGUGUAUGAAAUCGGUCGGUAAUGACUUGACGGUCGGAAAUGAAUUUAGUUUGUCGGUUUUUAAACAGAGAAUCCCCAAAUGAUCCUGCAAUACCUUCUGACUGACUCAUUUCCGACCAACUAAAAUAUUGGUCACUUUUAUAAUAGGGGCUCCCCAAUUGAACCUUGAAUUUCGUUCUGACCAAAUCAUUUCCGACCAACGUUAUUGGUUGGUUUUAAAACAGGGCCCCGAAUGAACCCUAAAAUUUAUUUCUGGCCGCCUCUAGUUGGUUUUAGGUCUAUUCAAGUGUAUGCCAGGUUCUAAGAAAAUUUUAAAACAUUACCGACUAAAGAUAGCGGUCGGUUGUCGAUCGGUUAUAAAUAUCAUUUCCGAUCUUUUAUUUACAACCAGGUUUCAAAGGACCAACACAAUCGGUCGGUCGGUGGUCGGUUACGAGGUGAAAACCGACCAACUCUCUUUAUUUCCGGUCGGCGGUCGGAAAUGCCCGCUUUUCUUGUAGUGAUAGCAAUUUCUAUCGGAACACAAUAUCUUACACCUUUAAGUCAUAAAUCACUGUUUUAAACUUUCCAAACAGCUUCCAAGUGUCAUAUUAAGCUUAUCUGAUGGCCCUUGUACUCGAAACAGUAUAAACCAUAUACAAACGAACACCACCAGAGCAAGGGUGUAGCCAAAAAGCUCAGAAAUUGCGUUAAAAACUUUUUAACAUCUUUGUACGAGGGAGUAACUAAACAAAAGGUGAUUAAAGCACUCUGCUUAAAGUGUCAACAAAACUAAGUUCGUGUUCACUUGAAUGAAAUAAAAUGAAAUGAAAAAUUGUUUGUAAAUUUAAUGGAAAAUGAACAAGUUACGAGCAGUGUUACGAAAAUUGGACCUAAUCAGUUAACCUACCCAUUUAGGAUUAUGAGCAAUCCGUGAUUAAUCGGAAGGAUUAAUUGGAGUGAAAACCAGAUAUAUUUUAAUAUUAAAUAACAUUUAAUAUUUUGUUAUUAUUGUAUUAGUUAUUUAUUAACAAAUAUAUAUUUAGUAUAUCAUAAAUUCUACAGUUGUUCAUAUUUAAAGUAAUAUAAUAGUUAAUUUUAAUAAAUUUUAUAGAUAAUUUGAUUAAGAAUAAUUUAUAAGGAUUAAUCAGAUUUUAAAAAUCAUAUCGGUCGCCUACCUUGGGGGAUUGAUCGUUAAAUCAAGGGAUUUUUAGAACAAUGGAUACGAGGCAAUAGUGACUAAACACGGAUGAGCCUAAAUUUAGUGUACUCUUAGACUUUGUUCACUUGGAUGGAAUGAAAUGCUGGGAGAAUGAAAUGAUAUUUGUAUUAUAUUUUGGGGAGGUUGGAGUAAAUGUUUAUUAUUUUCAUUCCUUCUAUCAUUCUACACACCAUUCUACACCAUUUGAGUUAAAAAAUCUAACCCACAUAUUUUCAAAGGAAUGCUCGAUUCCAUUUCUUCUCUAUCUUCCCCAACAAUCCCCGUCAUGCAAAAUUCAGAUUCUCAACCUCACUCACUAUUGUCUCAUACAUUCUCCUUUCUCUUUUGUAGUUUUUCAUUCCAAGUAAACGCAACUUUAGUGUGCUUAAUUAAACAAACAUCAGCAGACAACAAUAUACAGUUCCUCAUUAUGUUUAACUUAUCUUUUAGUCAGAUCUUUAAGUUGAAAGUGCUAAAGUGACAGUAGAGACCUUGAAGCAAUUACGAGCUAAACGUUAUAAUAGCUUGAACACUCCGUACUUUAACUUUUUAUAUAUUAUAACACCAACAUAUUGGCGAUUAUUUCACACAUUCCAUAUCAGCCACACGUACCAGACAGGUGAUGCUGGCAAUUAACUGGAAAUUAUUUAGUACAUGAUGAUUAUAAUGAGAUUCAUGUUUAGCAGUUAACUGGGGCAAUGACAGCACCAACGACAGUAAGGCCCGUCUUCCAGGUGGUUCCAUCACAUCCAUUCAUCGAGAACUUGACAUCAGUAUUCUCACAGCCACAGGCGCCUGUGUUGCAGAAUUCACCAACCUUAAGUCCCACCAAAGUAUUCGUUGGCUUUGUCUUCAAAUCUUCCUUGUGCUCUUCAGUAGUGCCGUUGGGACGAGUAAGCUUAAGGGUCACUGGUCCAUUCAUGCAAAGAUUGUCGCUAAGCUCCACAGCAAGAUACACUGCGUAUUUCACUCCCUUGGUGAGGUUGUUGGCAUUGUACUUUCCGUCAAUUUGUAGCCAGCAUACUGUGAUCAGUUCAGCAACCUCCAUAGGCUGGCAGCUGUGUGUACAAAAGUCCGAAAAACCAAAUAUUAUGUAAAAAUUAUCUCAAAUCUUUGGUCUCGAAAAAUGGAAGUCAAUGGGCUGUUUGGGUUAGCUGAAAAGAAGGGACUUUUUACUUAAAUUAAAAAAGGGGAGUAGAAGUGAGAAGUAAAUAAGUUAAUAAAGAGUUUGGAAAAGAAGUAGAAGUUGUGAGAGAAAAUCUAGUGUGCCUGUUUGUUUAGCAGAAGCAGGGGCUUCUGCUUCUGACUUCUGCUUCUUGACCCGUUUGUGUAAAGAAGUAGAAGCACUUUUAAGAAGCUGAGAAUGCUAGCUUCUCUCUCACAGCUUCUACUUUUUUUCCAAACACUUUAUUCACUUAUUUACUUCUCACUUCUAAUUCACUUCUUUAUUUUAAACAAAGAAGCACUUCUUUUAAGCUUAGCCAAACGGCCCCAGUAUCUUCAGUUUCUUAAAAGUGCUUUUACUUAUUUACACAAACAGCUCAAGAAAAGCAGAAGCCAGAAGCAACUUCUGUCUCGUCAUUAAAUUUGUAGUACAAAAACACCAAAAGCUUUCCAACAUGUGCUAUACAUACCUGAUUGGGUAUGUCUUAGAAACCCAUUUCCAGUAGCGGCUGUCUGAACCCCAAACUAUUGAGAGUUCCUUUGCACUGAUAACCGCAGCGAAGGACUGGACCAAUUAAUCAACAUUAACGGAGAUAUUUCCGAAUCAAAAUAUAUCGUACAAAAUUUAUAUGACUAAUUAGACUAUAAUUAAGAACAAGUCACACGCAGGCAUACUGGUGUGGGCAUGGUGCAUGACACUAAUACUAUUGCAGAAUUAUAAUUUCAUAAUUACCUAAAUAAAAAAAUAGUGAAAAUUAACAACCAAAAUAACUUACACUCUUGUCUUUCGCAGCCUGGACACCUUGAGUCCACAAUGACACGAUGUCAUCACGCACACGCUGCACUUGAGCCAUCCUCCUUGCUAGUUGAGAAUAAGAAGUUCUUAUGUAAUUCUUGUGCUGUCGAUGCCAAUCCUCACUUCCUUGAGCUCUAUUUAUAGCGUUGCGUACGGUCCUAUUUGUGCACUUAUUGAUAGUUACACUUAAACUUAUCUACGGUAGUCGGAUGCUCUGUCCCGUUAUUCUUUCUUUUUAUAAAAUAAGUGGAGCUUGGAUAAGAGAUUCAUCAAUUAUUUAUGCCAUUUGUGCGGUACAAGCCUCACUGGAAUCUGGUAACUUUCGGUUUUGAUUGAAAUACUCAUAUAACGACGAAAUCGUGGAAGCAUCCGACUAUGAGAAAAGAAAUACAGUGACAGGAGUACUUCUGUCAGAUCUAGGAGCCUAGGACAUUACUCAGCUCGAUUAACUCUGAAAUUUAAUAUUGGCACAGAUGAACCAAACCACGAAACAUUGAGCUUCUCAGUAAUUGUUGAACCAGAAUCUGGAAACUGAAGUAGAAUAUUCGUCACAAGAUCUUCCUGUAUAAAUAAACUUAUAAUUACUUUCAAGGCUGUUACAUUUGGUAAUGAGUAAUGCUACGUACACAGAAACGGAUACAGAUUUGUGUACAGAAUGACGUGGAUUCCACCGACUUUCUCACUUCAUUUAUCAUUCAUACUCUGUCGUUGUUUUCUUUUCUUUUUUCAAUACAUCUCCGCUUCUUUUAGUUCUGUCUUCUACUUUUGAGUCUUUAUAGUAUUUUGUUAUAUAGGCAGUUUAUAUGUUUAAUCGAUUUUUGAUAAUUUUAUUAUAUAAACAAAUAUAUUUUUUUUACAUUUUGAUAUCUUUCUUUACUUCUAUUAUUCAAUAUAUUUAUCAUAUAUGUAUUAUUAUCUUGAAAUUUGACAUUUUCUUCCAUAAUUUAUUUACUGUAUUUUGUAGUGGAUUGAUCUAUUUUAUAUUCCAAAACUCUUAAAUAUCUAUUUUAUCAUUCAUAUUACCAACAUAUUUAACAUAUUCGUUAUACAUGAAAUAUUUUUGUGCGAUUAUAAUAUCUUAAAUGGCAUUUACUACUUUUAAAUUAAGAUAAUGAAUAUUCUAAAUUUUAAAACUUUAAACGUUAUUUAGAAUUUUAUAUUCAGCGAGCACUUUUGUUAUACAUGUAGUUGUGAUUUUUAAACAUUUUUUGUUCAAAUAAAAUUUUGACAACUUUUAAUUUAAAAUAUAUAUUUAUAUUUAUUUUGUAGAAGUUUCUUUCUCUUAAUUAGCUGAUAUAUUUAUACGAAACUUUUUUAUUUUAUAUUCCAAAACAAUCAAAUAUAUAUUUUAUUUUUAGAAUAGAAAAUAAACAAGUCCUCUACAGAAGUACAAUAAAUAAAUUAUUAUCUAAUAGAAGGACAAAUAUAUCAAAUUAUAAAAUUAUAAAGAUAAUAAUAAAAAAUGAAUUAGAUAAUACAAGUAAAACAAAUAUAUCAAUGUAUAAUAUAAAUAUAUUUGUAUAAAGAAUAAAAUGGUAAAAAACGAUUAAAGCAGAGGGUGUGUAUAAUAAAAAUAGCAGCAUAUAAAGACUCCAAGGCAAUAGAAAAAAAAUAAAGCAGAGGGUGGAAAGAAAAAAUCAAAGCCGAGGGAUGAAGAGUGAAUAAAGAUAAUAAAUGAAAAGAGAAUGAUAUUGGAAUCCACGUCAUUCUGACUCUGUACACAAUUCUGUAUCAGUUUCGGUGGACCUAGCAUUAUUCUUUCGUAAUAUAUGUUGGGUUUGUCUGUGCCCAUGGGUACAUGCUAAGCACGAAAUUUUAUAAGUUUGGUGAAUUUUAAUUGGUGUGGUUGGUGAAUUUGCAAGGGGUCCACCAUUAUAAAGAAAUAAGAGCCAAUCAAAAUCACUCAAACUUAAGAAUUUUAGUGCUUAGUGUGUGCCCCUAGGCACACACUAGAAAAACCGAUAUAUGUUUGUGAAUAUAUAAUGAAGUAGUAGCCAACACUACAAAAAACUGUCCUGUUUACGACGGAAAUUAAGCCUGAAAUCUGUCAUAAUUCCGAAGUUAUGACAGAAAAAUUCCGCCGUUUUUUAUCGAUUAGUAAGUUUAAAACCAUUCACAAAUUUCGGUAUACUUUGCAAGUUACAUAAGGCGUCACAAGUUUCACUAGAUGGCCUCCAUAAUUUCACUAUUAUAAUGGCAAACUUUACGACGCACAAUUCAUCGUAAGAUAGCUUUUUAUGACAGAAUUUUCAUUGUAAGUUGCGUAUUAUUCUAUUGGCAGAUGGGACCCACUUAUAUGAAAUUUACGACGAAAAUUUGAAUUUGUGACCAAUUUUUGAACUUUUGACUCGAGCAAAAAGACGGAAAAAAUCCGUCGUAAUUGGACCAUUUACGACGGAUUCAGUGUUAAAAAUCCGUCAUAAAUGGGUUUAUUUGUUGCAGUGAAUAUAUAGUUGCCCAUAAGGAGACUGAUGAAAAAGGAGUGGUACAUUUAGGUCCAAGAUUUAUAUUCUUGAUUGCUAGAAAUAAUUCGGAUGCUAUUUUAUUUUUAAUGAGUUAAGGUGGUGACCGAUAAAAUUUAAAUUCAAAUACUUUGGGACGUGGAAUAGUACUUUUUUUUUUUUUUAUUAAAAGUUAAUCCUUAUUAAAUCAUCAAAUGUUAGACAAUAGUGUCUCCGACAAGCAUAAUGGAGGAGACGAAAUAACAAUGAAGCUACUAAGCUUAUAAGAAUUUUAGCCAUCUAAUUAUCUGCUGCCUUAUUUGAAGGAUUUCUAACAUAUCUGGGAGUCACUUUCUAUAAUAUAUUCAGCUAUUAGUUCAGCAACCUCCAGAGCCUGGGAGCUGUGUGUACAAAAGUCCCAAAAACCAAAUAUUAUGUAAAACUAGUUGAGAAGCCGCGUUGCGGCGGCCUAUAAAAAUUAUAUUAAUGGCUCAAUAUUAAUAUUUGUAAAAUAAAAUAAUUUUGUGUUUGUCUAUAAAAAGUAUAUUAAUGUUUCAAAAUUAAUAUUUGUAGGAUAAAAUAAAUUUUAUAUUAUAAAAAUCUUGAUGUAAUACCAAUACUAAUAGAUAAAAUUGCAAAAUUGGACUAUAAUUCAUGAUGAAAAAAUGAAAAUAAAUUUAUACACGUAAUUAACAAUUUAAAACACGGCGAAUAUUAAUUUUAUUUGUGUUUUUUUAAAAGUAAUCAUGUUCUUACAUUGUCACUUUACUCCAAUUUUUUUGGAUUGAUUGUGCACAAACACGUCUAACUUAAAUCUGUGAGAUAGCGGUGUAUAACUACCCUUGCUUGUAACAAACUUUAAAUUUUAAUACUGUAUAAACAGUCUUACUUAAAAGUUGCUUGAAUAGAGCAAACAGAUAAUGCAUGAAUAAUUUUUUUUCAAUGUAUACAAAAUAAAUCAUAUAAAAAUUAACAACAUAUUCGAAGAACAAAAACAAACGUUAUAAAAUAAUAACCAACAAACAUACAUCACUAACAGUUAAUUUAUUGAUAUCAUCCAUCAAUAUCAUGUCAAGACUAUAUUCUUUUCCCGUGUUUUGAUUUGUCGACUCCAACAUAGCGGUCUAUAACUACCUUUGCUUACAACAACCUUUAUUUUUUUAAUACUGUAUAAACAGCCUUCACUUAUCGUUGCUGAAGAACGGCACUACCGAGUUAGAAAUCGAGCAAGAGAAUUAUCACCAAAGAGAGGUAAGGUUGUGGUAUUGAGAGAAAGAAUGUUGUGUUUAGAUGAUCUAAAACCCUACAAUCUAUAGGGGAUUUAUAGGUGCAGAGAGACCUGUGUGCUACUCUUUUCCAUAAUUAAAUAAUAUGAAACAAAAUCAGAUUAAAACUUUCAAGCUACUGUAUUCCAUAAAUAAUCUGAAACAAAAUUAGAUUCUGAAACUUGCUUCCAAUAUACCCGAAACUACUAAUCUGAAACAAAAUCAGAUUAAAACUUUCAAGCUACUAUAUUCCAUAAAUAAUCUGAAACAAAAUCAGAUUCUGAAACUUGCUUCUAAUAUACCCAAAACUAAAAAAGGUAGUUCUAGUUUUUGAUAUUUUUCAUCCAAAAAUUCCAGAAAAUUAGAAAAAUAGAACGGAGCGAUGUGAGAGACGCCACCUACACGCCCCUCGCUUCUCCUUUAUAUAAGUAUAUUGAUUUAUCUCAAAUCUUUGGUCUCGAUAAAUGGAAUUCAAUGUCCAGUCAUUAAAUUCCAACAUGUGCUAUAUAUACAGACCUGAUUGGGUAUUUCUUAGAAACCCAUUUCCAGUCAUAACCGCAGCGCACCUUACGCUCUUGUCUUUCACAGCCUGGACACCUUGAGUCCACAAUGAUAAGAUGUCAUCACGCUACACUUGAGCCAUCUUCUUGCUAGUUGGGAAUAAGAAGUUCUUGUGCAAUUCUUGUGCUGUCGAUGCCAAUACUCACUUCCUUGAGCUGUAUUUAUAGGGUUUCGGACGGUCCUAUUUGUCCACUUAUUGAUAGGUACACUUAUCCUUAUCUGCAUGUGGUAGGAGGAUGCUCUGUCUCAUUAUUCUUUCUUGUUAUUAAAUAAGUGGAGCUUGGACAUUACUCAACUCGAUCAACUCUGAAAUUUGAUAUUGGCACAGAUGAACAACCACGAAACAUUGAGCUUCUCAGUAAUUGUUGAACCAGAAUUUUCUGGAAACUGAACUAGAAAAUUCGCCACAAGAUCUUCCUGUAUAAAUAAACUUAUAAUUACUUUCAAGUUUCAAGGCUGCUAAUUAAAUUUCAUAAUAUAUGUUUGUGAAUAAAUUAUAUUGAAUUAGUAGCCAAGGAGAAGUUUAAUUGAUCAUGGGGUGAAAUGGGGUCUGGGUACAUCCACUAAUUUCAAAUAACGGCUACAAUGAGCCUACAACUUUAGACAAGACUACAAUGGAAGAAUGAAAUCUGUUACAAACGGAAUUGCAUGUGUCAUUUUUCACGGAUUUGGUACUUUUUUUUUGAGAAAUUCACGGAUUUAGUACUUGAAAUCCGUCAAAAAAGAAGGAUGUAUAGUAGCGCAGCCGCAGAACUAUUCAUGCAACUACAAUUAGAGAACACCGAUUCUACAAGUCUAUCACUCUUCUCGAUUACUAGGUAUAUAGAGUUGUGUAGUUAACAUAACUGCUGUAUGAAAUUUAACACCCUCCCUUGAUCGGGUCGAAAAGAAUUCCGUGCAAGAUAAAUUUUAAAAAAGGCGAUAUAAUUCUAACGUCAUUGAAAAUACUUUUGCAGACACUCAUUAGAGGAAAUUAAAUUUCAACGGUUUUUGGGUACUUGUAGUAGAAUUAGAUGUACAGUACAUGUUUUCUCGUAAGAAUUUGUCCUGCAAACAGUCCCUUUUCACCGUUAUUUCUAUAUGGUUUAUUAACAAGUGAAAUUUUUCAGUGGACUAUGUAUGGAAUAUCAAGAUUUGGUUAUUUUUACAUAAUUUUUUUAUUUAAAAAUAAUUAUUAUUAUACUAAUAUGAAAGGACUUCUAUAUUGAUAUAAUGAUUAUCCCACCAACAUAAUUACAUUGUCAACAAAAAUAUCCACUUUAAAUUUUAAAACGCAAACAAUUUAAAUUAUGAAACAACACCCUUAUUUGGUUAUCACAGUAUUUUUUUAUUUGAUGAUAAUUAUUAUUAUACCUUUAUGAAAAUAUUUUCAUAUUGAUGAGGAUUUUUUAAUAUAAUGAUUAUCCCACUAACAGAUUACAUUGUUAACAAAAUCAGUCCUUUAUAAUUUAAACGUUAAACAAUUUUAUUUAUGAAAUAACUUUAUAAAAUUUCUAUCAUGUUUCACAAUUCAAUAAAAUAGGGAGUCUAUAUUAAUAUUAAUAAACCAAAAUUUGGUUAACAUAAUUUUUUUAUGAAUAACAAAAUAACUAUUAUUAUACUAUUAUUAUUAUAAUAGUAUCAGUAGACUAGUUUAAAAAAAAAAAAAGUAUGAGUAGACUUUAUAUAUUGACCAAAAUUUUGGUAUGUAACGAUUAGGACACCGACAUAAUUACAUAAUUAUCUACAAAACUAUUUAUCUUAAUUUUUUAAACUUAAAUAGUUCAAUUAACGAAACAAAUCUAAUUUAGUUAUUGACAUAUAUAUAUAUAUAUAUAUAUAUAUUAUUUAAUAUUAAUAAUUAUUAUAUUACUAUGAAAAGUCUUUCAUAUUGAUCACAAUUUUAUAAUAUUUUUGAUUUAAUAAUAAUAAAUAUUAUACUAUAAAAAAAACUUCCAUGUUGAUUAGAAGUUUAUAAUGUAAUAAUUAUACUACAACAGGUUGCAUUACCUAUAAAAAUAUUAGUCUUAAUUUUUAAAACUCAAACAAUUUAAUUAAUGAAAUGACUCGAAUUUAAUUAUCAUGAUAUAAUAAUUAUAUAAUAUUACUAUGCAAAUAUUUUCAUAUUGAUCGGUAUUUUAUAAUGCAACAAUUAUCUCAACAACAGAAUCACAUUGCCAACAAAUCUAUUUAUUUUAAUUUUUUAAAACUCAAACAACUUAAUUUAUGAAAAAACUUUAUAGAAUUCUUAUGACGUGUCAUAAUAAAAAUGAAUAAAGAGUCCAUAUUAUAUUAUAAACCAAAUUUAUAUUAAUAUAAAAUUUAAUUCAACACUUGUCUUUCGAAAUAUUGCAAUAAAGACCAAAAAAGUUGGGGUAAUAAUGCGAUGACUCCGUGGAGAAAAAAAAGGCACUAAACAAUUGUCCAUGUUAUAGAUUUAUAGCCAUACAAUGCAAGGACAGAAAAUCACAACAUUGCUAAAAAAAAGAAGAGAACAAAUUACUUUUGAAUUAGAUUUAUUUAGCUUAAACCCUCUCUUACAAUUAUAUAUUAAUUUGUCAAAUUCUAAAGGAACUCUAAUUAAUUAAUAUUACACACACGUCUAAAAUAACUAUGAAUUAAAAAAAUUUAAAUUAUACUACAGACUGAAUACCUACAAACCACCUUAUAAUAUACGUUGGUUCUGAAUAUAUAUUUCAACUCUUUAGAAAUCAUAAAACAACAUAAUGAUUUGUUAAAAUAAAACACAUAAUUCUGAAUUAAAUUCAUAUCAUAACUGUAUGCGAGAAUUAUUUUUAGAAAAAAAAUAAUUUAAAAUAUGAUCAAAUGUUCAUCACAGAAAAUUAUAUAUAUAAAGAUUAAUAGUUUAAAUAUGUAUAUUAAAAUCAUUAUAUUUCUAAUAAAUUUCAAAAUUUUAAUUUUUGUAUAAUUUUCACCAGUGCAUAUUUUUCUAGCAGGAUGGAUCCAUUUUAUUUUCAUGUUGUUAGGGAAUAUAAAGUGAAUGUUGAUUAAUUCAUUUGAAUAGUCAUGUGGUAAUAUUGGUAAAGUGUGAAGAAAUUGUUUUUGGCAAGAAACUGUUCGAUAGAAUGCCUAUAACAUGUGUUGUUUGGCCGAGUAAAAAUUACGGGCCUGUAAAAGCACUGUAUUUGAAGGAGGCGCUAAAUGUUUUUAUUGAUAGGAAAAGAAGUGGGAUGAGGUCUAAUCAAGUUGGAAGAACUCCUGGAGUAGAAGCAGUGGAGUGUGGAAAACGUUUAUAGUGAAAUUUUUAGAAAAUAUAAAGGGACUGUUUGGGUGACUUUAAAAUUAAAUGUUUUUUGUUUAAAGUAGAGAAGUGAAGUAGAAGUUAGAAGUAAAUUAAGAGUUAUGAGUGUUUGAAAAAUAAGUAGAAGUCAGCUUCGAUUCUUGACUUUUUACUUUUUACGUAAACUGUACGAAUAAGUGCUUCUAAUUUAUAUCCCGAGCCGGACUUAAAAGUUAUAGCCAAACACCCCAAUAUAACGACGUCUUUGCUUCAAAAUCGUAUUUUUGUGAUACUUUCUGAUAACCCUUUCAUUCAUCUAGUACUUCUAUAUGUUCCAGAUUCUCUCACUGUCACUGUACUGUUGUAAUUUUAUUGAUGAUUUUUUCUAGACAUAUUUAUUUAAUAUUCAUUUCCAUUUUUGUUUGGUGAUUUUUUAUUUUUACAAUUUGGGUCAUGACAAGUUCGAGAUUCUAGGGUCUAAUGCAUUGGAUGUUCAUCAUCUUUAAUAAAAUCCGUUCUCAAAGUCCCAGGUACUUGUUUAUGGCGUAUCACUUACUCUCUCCGUCCCAAUCAAUUCUAUACAGUUUCCUUUUUGGGAUGUCCCAUCAUUUCUAUACAUUCCCAAAAUAGCAACUUUUUAUAAUAUAAAACAUUAUUACACCCACUACAUUCUCCCACUAUCUCCAUUAUAUAAUAAUAAAAACACUAUUACACCCACUACUUUACUCCACUAUCUCAAAUCUAUUAUUAAAAAAUAUAUGGGUCCCACCACUUUACCAACUUUCCAUAUAACUCUACUCAUUUCUUACACUUUUUCUUGGUCUCCGUGUCCGAUCCCAAUGUAUAUAAUUCAUUGGGACGGAGGGAGUAUAUAUUUAAACACCAACAUAUUGGCGAUUAUUUCACACAUUCCACAUCAGCCAAACCAGAUAGGUGAUGUUGGCAAUUGGAAAUUAUUUAGUUUAUCAGAUGCAUGUUUACCAGACUGGGGCAAUGACAGCACCAAUGACAGUAAGGCCAGUCUUCCAGGUGGUUCCAUCACAUCCAUUCAUCGAGAACUUGACAGUAUUCUCACAGCCGCAUGCUGAGUUGAUGAAUUCACCAACCUUAAGUCCCACCAAUGUAUUCUUUGGCUUGGUCUCCAAAUCUUCCUUGUGCUCUUCAGUAGUGCGGUUGGGACGAGUAAGCUUAAGGGUCACUGGACCGUUCAUGCAAAGAUUGUCGCUAAGCUCCACAACAAAAUACACUCCGUAUUUCACUCCCUUUUUCAGGUUGCUGGUAUCGUACUCUCCGUCAAUUUGGAGCCAGCAUACUGUAAUUAGUUUAGCAACCUCCAGAGCCUCGCAGCUGUGUGUACAAAAGUCCCAAAAACCAAAUAUUACGUAAAAAUUUAUCUCAAAUCUUUGGUCUCGAAAAAUGAAAGUCAAUGUCCAGUCAUUAAAUUCUGUAGUAUAAAAACACCUACGCGUUCCAACAUGUGCUAUAUAUACAUACCUGAUUGGGUAGGUCUUAGAAACCCAUUUCCAGUAGCGGCUGUCUGAACCCCAGACUAUUGAGAGUUCCUUUGCGGUGAUAACCGCAGCGCAGGACUAAAACAUUUAAUUAACAACGGAGAUAUUUCAGAAUUAAAUUAUAUCAUACAAAAUUUAUAUGGCUAAUUAGACUAUAAGAACAAGUCACACGCAUGACAAUAAUACUAUUGCAGAACUAUAAUUUCAGUAGCUUCCAUAAAAAGGUACCGAAUAUUAACAGCCAAAACAACUUACACUCUUGUCUUUCACAGCCUGGACACCUUGAGUCCACAACGACACGAUGUCAUCACGCUGCAAUUGAGCCAUCUUCCUUGCUAGUUGAGAAUAAGCAGUACUUGUGUAAUUCUUGUGCUGUCGAUGCCAAUCCUCACAGCUUCCUUGAGCUCUAUUUACAGCGUUGAGUACGGUCCUAUUUGUGCACUUAUUGAUAGUUAUACUUAACCUUAUCUACGGUAGUAGGAUGCUCUGUCCUGUUAUUCUUUCUUUUUAUUAAAUAAGUGGAGCUUGGAUAAGAGAUUCAUCAAUUAUUUAUGCCAUUUGUGCGGUAGAAGCCUCACUGGAAUCUGGUAACUUUCGGUUUUGAUUGAAAUACUCAUAUAACGAUGAAAUUGUGGAAGCAUCCUACUAUGAAAAAAGAAAUACAUACAGUGACAGGAGUACUUCUGUCAGAUCUCGGACAUUGCUCAACUCGAUUAACUCUAAAAUUUAAUAUUGGCACACAUGAACCAAACCACAAAAAACUGAGCCUCUGAUGAAUCGUUGAACCAGAAUAUUCUUGAAACUGAACUAGAAAAUUCGUCACAAGAUCUGCCUGUAUAAAUAAACUUAUAAUUACUUUCAAGGCUGUUAAAUUUCAUAAUAUAUGUUUGUGAAAAAAUAUUCUAAAUCCAGAAAAUUGACUAGCACAGGCUAUUUCCGACCAUUAUUGGUAACCUUUUUGCCAAGAAAACCGACCAAAUUAAGUUAUUUCUGACUAAACACAUAAUUUAAGAAAUGAACCACAUUUCCGACCGCUAGUGUAUGAAAUCGGUCGGUAAUGAUUUCACGGUCGAAAAUGAAUUUUUAGUUUGUUGGUUUUAAAACAGAGAAUCCCCAAAUGAACCCUGAAAUACCUUCCGACUGACUCAUUUCCAACCAACUCAGUUGGUCGGUUUUAUAAUAGGGGCUCCCCAAUUGAACCCUGAAUUUCGUUCAGACCUUAUCAUUUCCGACCAACUUUAUUGGUUGGUUUUAAAACAAGCCCCCUGAAUGAACCCUGAAUUUAUUUAUGGCAACCUCCAGUCACUUUUAGGUCUAUUCACAUGUAUGCCAAGUUCUAAGAAGAUUUUAAAACAUUACCGACUAAAGAUAGCGGUCGGUCGUCGGUCGGUUAUAAAUAUCAUUUCCGACCGAUCUGUUAUUUACAACCAGGUUUUAAAGGACCAACACAAUCGGUCGGUCGGUGGUCGGUUACGAGGUGAAAACCGACCAACUCUCUUUAUUUUCGGUCGGCGGUCGGAAAUGCCCGUUUUUCUUGUAGUUAUAUCAACUUCCAUCGGAACACAAUAUCUUACACCUUUAAGUCAUAAAUCACUGUUUUAAACUUUCCAAACAGCUUCCAAGUAUCAUAUUAAGAUUAUCCGAUGGACCUACUCGAAACAGUAUAAAACAUAUACAAACGAACACCACCAGAGCAAGGGUGUAGCCAAAAAGCUCAGAAAUUGCUCUAAAAACUUUACAACAUCUCGUACAAGGGAGUAACUAAACAAAAGGUGAUUAAAACACUGUGCUUAAAGUGUCAACGAAACAAAGAUUGUGUACACUUGAAUGAAAUAAAAUGAAAAAAAAGAAUGAAAUGGAAAAUUGUAAAUAAAUUUAAUGGAAAAUGAACAAGUUACGAGUAGAGUUACGAAAAUCGGACCUACUCAUUUAACCUACCGAUUUAGGAUUAUCAGCAAUCUGCGAUUAAUCGGAAGGAUUAAUUGGAGUGAAAACUAGAUAUAUUUUAAUAUUAAAUAAUAAUAAAUAUUUUGUUAUUAUUAUAUUAGUUAUUUAUCAACAAAUAUAUAUUUACUAUAUCAUAAAUUCUACAGUUGUUCAUAUUUAUAGUAAUAUAAUAGUUAAUUUUAAUAAAUUUUAUAUAUACUUUGAUUAAGAAAAUUUUAUAAGGAUUAAUCAGGUUUAAAAAAUCAAAUUAGUCGCCUACCUUGGGGGAUUGAUCGUUAAGUCAAGGGAUUUUUAGAACAAUGGUUAUGAGACAAUAGUGACUAAACACGAAUGAGCCUAAAUUUAGUGUGCUCUUAGACUUUGUUCACUUGGAUGGAAUGAAAUGAUGAGAAAAUGAAAUGAAAUUUGUAUUAUAUUUUGGGGAGGUUGGAGUAAAUGUUUAUAAUUUUCAUUCAUUCAAUCAUUUACACACCAUUCUACACCAUUUGAGUUAAAAAAUCUAACCACAUAUUUUGAAAGGAAUGCUGAUUCCAUUUCUUCUAUAUUUUCCCAACAAUCCCCGUCAUGCGAAAUUCAGAUUCUCAACCUCACUCACUAUUGUCUCAUACAUUCUCCUUUCUGUUUUUGUAGUUUUUCAUUCCAAGUGAACGCAACUUUAGUGUGCUUAAUUAAACAAACAUCAGCACAAAACAAUAUACAGUUCCUCAUUAUGUUUAACUAAUCUUUUAGUAAGACCUUUAAGUUAAAAGUGCUAAAGUAACAGUAGAGACCUUGAAGCAAUUACGAGCUAAACGUUAUAAUAGCCUGAACACUCCGUACUUUAACUUUUUAUAUAUUAAAACACCAAGAUAUUGGCGAUUAUUUCACACAUUCCAUAUCAGCCACACGUACCAGACAGGUAAUGUUGGCAAUUAAUUGGAAAUUAUUUAGUACAUGAUGAUUGUGAGCCACUACAAGAAAAACAGACUCAGACAACACCUUUCAGACAACACAACGAAAAAAAACCGUUGCGAAAAAAGAACACACAACGGUUGCUUUUUUGACCUCGACUAUCCAUUGUCUAAACCAGGACUCAUACUACGGUUUUUAAAAGCGUUGUUAAAAAAUAUGUAAAAAAGUUUGUUUGACACAACAGUUUAUAAAGACCAUUGUUUUUCAGAAAUUCACACAAUUGUCUAUAAAACUGUUGUUAAAUAUUAUACAACGGGUUUCCAAAACCAUUGUUAUUUGCAAAGUCAGACAAUGUUGUCAAGUAACCGUUGUAAUUAAUAAACAACGGUUGGGGAAACAGUUGUGUUUGUACAUAUUACACAAUAUUCCACUAAACCGUUGUUAAAGAAUGCACAACGAUUUUAAUAAUGAGUUGUUGUAUUCAAAUUCACACAACCGUUUUUGGUAGCAUUGUUCUUUAAACCUCGCACAACAGUUUGGCUUAAUUAUAUGUAUUGUAUUGUUGUAUCAUUUUAACUCAUACAACAGAUGAGUAUAUAGAAACCGUUGUCUAUUAGAGACACUAAAAGACAAAAAUUACCUUUUUAUAAUAAGACAAAAUUUACAAUUGACUAUUUUUGUUAAAAAAACAUAUAAAACAAACAUAAAAAAAAUUAAUUUUUUUUAUACAUGACUAAUAUUGGUAGUUCUUAACAUCCGUACGGUUAGAUCAUCAAAAAAAAUAUUUAUAAAUUAUUACGGAACUAAUCUUAUAGAUAACAAAAUUUCUAACCAGUGCUUCCUAAAUUGUAAACAUAAAACACAUACUAAGAGGGGUGUAUUGGAUUGGGAUUUUAAAGAUUUUUUUGCAUUCAUGAAAUCCGAGGGUAUUCGAUUGGGAUUGUUUGAAAUCCAUUAAAAUCUUGAGGUAUUCAAUUGGGAUUUUAAAUUAUGCUUUAAAAUCCGAUGGUAUUCAAUUGGGAUUGUUUAAAAUCCAUUAAAAUCUGAUGGUAUUCAAAUGCUGAUGGAUUUUUUUUCAUUUCAUAAAAUGAUGGAUUUUGUGGCAUUCUUCAGUGUAUUUUAAGUUUUUUGAAAUCCCACCAAAUUCAAUGGGAUUUUGAAGCAUUGUACCUAAAUCCUAUCAACUCUGCGACAUUUCAUCAAGAAUCCGCACAAAAUCAAAAUCUCAUACAAUCCAUUAAAAUCCAUAGACUAAAAACAAUGCAUUAAAAUCCCAAUCGAAUACACCCCCGUAAUACUCACGUCCGAACUACAAAAUUAUCUUCUUGUUACAAAUGAACAAUACAAAUUUGCAUAUAUGUUUAAUACAAAUAUAAUUUUUAGAUAAAAAACAUAAAAAUAAGGAUUUUUCAAGGAUAAGAGAAUCUUUAACUCUUAAAAAAAAUAAUUUAUUAGACAACUGUUUUUUUCCAAUAAAUUGUUGUUUACACUACUUACAUACAACGAGUUUUGUUGAAAACGUUGUUUGAGCUUAUUUUGGACAAUAAUUUCUCUUACAAAAAUUCUCAUGGGACAAUAACCAUUGUCUAUUUACAAGAAAAUGUGGCACCACCUGAUUGGUGGAAAAUAUUUCACCUGGAUUGCUUACUUGGCAAAAUGUCACCAAUUGAUUGACUUCACCUGGAUCACUUAGUUGGCAUAAUAAGAGCCCUUGACUUUCUGAAGGUGUCACACAACGGUUUUUUAAGAAAACUGUUGUAUAAUAUCUAAUUCUUAAAUUUUUUAAUUUUAUAAUGACUUUGAAAUUGAUUUUUAAAAUUUUUAAAUUUGAAUAAUAAAAUAAUAUGACAGUCAAAAUUUAAUAAAUUUUAUCAUUUAAAAUUUGACCAUGGCUAUUAUAAACUCUUAGAUCAACCUGAACUAGGUCUAUCAUAAUCAAACAUGAUUACGCUCGAGAGCGCCCAAUGAGCGCCUUGGGAGCGCCCUAUAAGCGCCCCAGGAAAAAUUUUCAUUAACCAGCUCUACGCCUCUACCUCUCUAGAGAAACACAUUCUCUGUCUCUUCUCUCUCAAACAAACUCUCUCAUUUUCUUCACUGUGGAACAAAUUCCAGAUCUUUCUUCUCAGUCUCUUCGUCUCGUCGGCUGGGUCCGGAGCGCCCGAGAAGCGCCCUGGGAGCGCCCCAGGAGCGCCAAGUGCGCCCGAGGUGCGCUUGAGGACCUCACCAGCGUCGACCUGGGCACCAAGGAUGCCCUAAAUCGACCUGGGUGAGGUCGAAAAAUGACUUGGGCGUCAAAAAACACCCAACGCCCGAGAGCGCCAGAGAAGCGCCCUGGGAGCGUCCUAUGAGCGCCCCAGGAGCGCCAAUAGCGCCCGAGGUGCGCCUGAGGACCUCACCAGCGUCGACCUGGGCACCAAGGAUGCCCUAAAUCGACCUGGGUGAGUUCGAAAACUGACUUGGGCGUCAAAAAACACCCAACGCCCGAGAGCGCCCGAGAAGCGCCCUGGGAGCGUCCUAUGAGCGCCCCAGGAGCGCCAAUAGCGCCCGAGGUGCGCCUGAGGACCUCACCAGCGUCGACCUGGGCACCAAGGAUGCCCUAAAUCGACCUGGGUGAAGGGCAACAUACAUACUAAGUAAGAGAUAAGGGAGAGAGACAAAUAGAGAGAGAGCGACUGAGAGAUAGUAACAGUCAGAGGGAGGGACAGAGUGAGAGAGGGAGACACAUAGAGAGAUCGGGAAAUAUAUUCUAAGAGAGUGGAGAUGGAGGGAAGGAGGGAGAGAGAGAUUUUUAGGACAUUCACUGAGAAAGCAAUGUCUAAAAUGUGAGUAUUAAUUUAUGAUGGGUCCUCAUUAAUGUCUGGGCUAAUACAUUUUGCCUUUAGAAAGCCUUUCCCCUUGCUGAUUUAUCUUUAUUUGUAUAACCCUGCAGUCAUAAUCUUUAUUUUGGUGCGCAUUAUUAAUUUUGGAGUUGCUUUCUGCGCUGACAUUUUUAUGAUUGCAGUCAGAAACUCAAUUUUCCUACUAGAGCUAUGUUCUGUUUCAUGACACAAAAUAGCUUACAAUUAGUGUAUGAGGGCCUUCGAUUUGGGUCCUUCGAUUUGCAGUCUAGAGGGCCUGGUUGGCAAGUUGAGACUGGUAGAAUGGACAACUUAACUACUAGCAAAACUACAACAAACAAUAACAUUCCACCCCAACUUCCGAUUAUAUCAGCACACGUAUAUGCCUAUGUAUUAUUUUACCAUAAUGGCGAGUUCUCUCGAUAUUGCUUGAUUAAUUUGCAUAACUUGUCUUUGCUGCAGGUAUUACAAUCUCGCACAUGCAGUGAAUGAAAGAGUUUUAAGGCAGCCCUCAAUGCUACAAGCUGGAAUCUUGAGAGAUUAUCAUAUUGUAUGUUCCAUUUUUCUGAGAGACUGAUCUAAAUAAAACUUAUUCUUUGGUUUAUUGUCUUAUGUCAUUGCGAGUAGCUCUUUCUUGUUAACAUAGCAACAAGUAGAUCCUUGCCAGUCAUGUGUAGUAUUAUGGAACAUUUGAUUUUUGAUUUGUUGAUGCAGAUAAGGACAACUACGUCAACUACCACAAGAGAUUAAUUGAUUUAGUAAAUAUCAGACGGUUAUGAGGACGACAACACCAUGGGUAGUGCCCAGCCAGCUUAUACUUCAAUGAGAAAGUAUGUAAGGUACUAUAGAGACUUUGUGAUUGGGCUUAACAAAUCCUUGGUGGAUGAUUCCAGUAUUGAGAUAUGCAUGCUUGUACAAGGUUAUUUGUAGCCAUUUGAAAUGUUAUUAAUUUAGUUUGUACAAAUUAUUUUAAUCUUUUGUUAGGCAAAGAUUUGACUUUCAGUUACUUGUAUAAAUUGUAUAAGACAAUAGUUUGAUUUCUAAAGUUUUUACCAUCUCAACAAUUGUACAAAUAAAGUUCACACAACUGUUGACUCUAUUAAUGCAAGAAAACACAUUAUUUUAUCGAAAUUGUUGUGGGGAGGGAAGAAAGACAAUACUUUGUCUCAAGGGAACUAUUGAAUAACAAAUUGUUUUAAAACAUUCUUUUAUAACUAAACCGUUGAAUGGAGUAAUUUCAAACAAUAUUUUUUUUUUUGGUAUUAUUGACUAUAGGAAAGAAGGACAAUCUUUCGUCUCAGGGGAACUAUUGUCUGAAACAUAUCAGACAUGUGGUAUGCAUUUAAGAAACGCAUGAAUAACACAAGGUCUUACAACACUCUGUUACAUCAAAACAGUUGUGUAUACCAACCUUCCAACAACAUUUUCUCGUAUUUGCGUUGUUGUCUUGCAGUAAGACAGACAACGAUUGCGUACCGUUGUCUCAUCCCAGUAUCAGACGGCAUCUCAAUACUCAACGGUAUUUGAGGGUUUCAGACAACGGGUAAUUUCCGUUGUCUGAGAUUCAUGUUUAGCAGUUAACUGGGGCAAUGACAGCACCAACGACAGUAAGGCCCGUCUUCCAGGUGGUUCCAUCACAUCCAUUCAUCGAGAACUUGACAGUAUUCUCACAGCCACAGGCGCCUGUGUUGCAGAAUUCACCAACCUUAAGUCCCACCAAAGUAUUCUUUGGCUUGGUCUUCAAAUCUUCCUUGUGCUCUUCAGUAGUGCCGUUGGGACGAGUAAGCUUAAGUGUCACUGGACCGUUCAUGCAAAGAUUGUCGCUAAGCUCCACAGCCAAAUACACUCCGUAUUUCACUCCCUUGAUGAGGUUGUUGGCAUUGUACUUUCCGUCAAUUUGUAGCCAGCAUACUGUGAUCAGUUCAGCAACCUCCAGAGACUGGCAGCUGUGUGUACAAAAGUCCGAAAAACCAAAUAUUAUGUAAAACUUUAUCUCAAAUCUUUGGUCUCGAAAAAUGGAAGUCAAUAAUGUCCAGUCAUUAAAUUUUGUAGUACAAAAACACCAAAAGCUUUCCAACAUGUGCUAUACAU